rnacentral:rRNA from 1 species
UACGUAGGGGGCAAGCGUUGUCCGGAAUCAUUGGGCGUAAAGAGCGCGUAGGCGGUCCGGUAAGCCCGCUCUGAAAGCCCGGGGCUCAACCCCGGGAGGCGGGCGGAUACUGCCGGGCUAGAGUCCGGAAGAGGCGAGUGGAACUGCGAGUGUAGAGGUGAAAUUCGUAGAUAUUCGCAAGAACACCAGUGGCGAAGGCGGCUCUCUAGUACGGUACUGACGCUGAGACGCGAAAGCGUGGGGAGCGAACGAG